GAAGGGACCGCCUCCAGGUCAGCGUGGAGGAAGGAACAAGCCCUCAUGGACGUCACCGCCCCUGUGCAGCCCUGAGCCGGACGUGCUGGAGCCGCAGAGCAGAGAGAGGUCAAACAACCUGCCUGAGGUUACACAGCGGGAAAGAGGGGGUCCCAGGAGACGAAGCUGGUUCUGCCAGACACAGAGCCCCUCUGAUUAGUCUCCUGAAAGGACUUUCGGAACAGAUGCGGCCUUGGAAUCGAGGGUCAUCAGCCAAAGAUGACUCCUCAGGGGCUGGAGGAAGAUGCCGUCAUUCUAUCCCCCACCCAGAGAACGUUUCUCCUCCUCUCGGGCUUGCGGUGGCCUGAAGUUCCAAACAGAAUCACCAGCUCCAAAAGGUCCAGCACGCUGCCCCAGGACACCCCAGCUUGUGAGCAAAACAAGAGUCUACAUAAAACGUUGUUUUAUUCCUUUGCUCUGAAACCAACAAAGAAACACUUGGCAGCCCCGGCUUGCUCCUCUGUGAAGUGAGAACUUUGGAACUGAGAGGACUCCAUGCAGAGGCUGAGCGCUCGCUCAAACAGCCUGGACACUUGGAGACACCCCAAGGCUCAGGCAAACUUCGUGGACUUGCUGUGUGACUUUGGCAAGUCGAGCCCCCUCUCUGAAUCCAGUUGCCUUGUCUCUGGAGAGAGAAGACCAGGGAGGGCCUGGGGGGGUCCUCCAGGUGACAGCCUCUCGGAGUCAGGGCCCUAAGAAGGCUGUGCCUCUGACAAGGUUCCCCUGACCACUCCUGCUCUGUGACUUACAGGAAGAGAUCCAUUGCUCCUCCUCCCAAAGCAGGCUCUGCUCUGAGAAGGCAGGUGGGGUCUGCCCCCUGCGGGGUGGGUCACGGGCCGCAGCCAGUCCUGGAGCAGGACCUCUGACCAUCUUCCAACGGGUACAGCGACUUGUCCCCAUUAGGGGCCUUCCCCUGUCUGCCUGUCAGCCUCACUCAGUGUCCACAUCACCUCAGCCACACGGACCUCCUUUGAGAUUCAGACACAUCCUUUCUCUGCUCAGAGUCCUCUCCUGGUGACACAAAGACGCAGAGCCCGAGCCCUGGCCUCAUUCUCUGCUUGGACAGCGACUCCCUGUGCAGCCUGGAGCGAGUUCCACUUCACUGUCUGCCCCUCAGGGGUGGAGGCGGCUGCAGCAAGGACCCUUCUAUCUGAAUUAUUUUAAUGAAUCAGAUUGUUUGGUUUUUUGAUAUUGAGUUGCAGAUCAUUUGUUUCUUGUAUUCACUAAUGGGGUGGCAUUAUCCCCAUUUUACAGAUGACGAAAAUGGAGGAUUACAGAACUGAACUAUUAUGUGCCGACUCUGUGUCAGGGAAGAAUGAUUAAUUCAACAGCCAGAUCAUCUCUUCAGCCAGGAAACGCCUACAGGUGGCCAAACACUUUGAGUGUCAGCCUCGAUACCUCUCUUGUUUAUGUAGUUGAAUAAGACAAAGUCCUUGAUUUAUGGUCCAGUGGAAAGAUACCGACAGAUAUAUGAAUAACCAUUAUCAGCAGAGUGGUGAUCAGGUACCUUGGAGAGGUUCAAAGUUGGACAGAAGACCUGGGAAGGGAAGAUUUCCUUUGUGUAGCUUCCAUUCUAUCCUAUUUCUACAAGAAGGACAUGAAACUACAGGAAGUGAUGUGGCAGACCCCCAGCCACGAGCGACAGGCUGGGUUCCAAUAUGAAACCUGUUGGCUUCAGAAUAUCUAAUUUCUAUAGAUUUCGACCACUAGUGUUACCUUAUAUUUUGCCACUGAAUUGCACUGCAUUUUGUAAGAACAAGCUUUAUUUGCUGUGAGCUCACUUUGGGACGACCGAGUCAGACAGGCAUCCUUGGGAUGUCAGGAGGGGCAUGGCUCCUGAAGUGUAUGUUUCAGCCUGUUUUCUUAAAUGUUGUCUCUGUGAGGUGGGGGGAGGGAGGGAGAGAGAGAGGCUCUUAUGGAAAUGUAACUGCUUGAGAACAAAAAACCUUUCCAGGAAAAAUAAAUCAGCGUUUAUAGAGGAAAUGAUUUCUUCCAUUGGCUGAGGACAGGCUGCGCACUUACUUAGCCAGUUUCUUCUCCCAAAUGAAUCCUCAGCCCCACCCAAGUGCUCUCCUCUCCCGGCUCCAAACAUUCCUGCCUGUGCCCCUGUGGGCAUGUGAGUGCUGUGGGCUUUCAAGUCGCCCCAAAGCUGAGUUUGUCAGAGGAUGAGCCACACUGCUCUGACGCAUCCUCCCAGCCCUGGAGAGUGACCAAACCCAGGUCAGGACCAUGUCUGUUCCUUUUUGUCUCCUCAAAGCCACAGGCAUUUCCUAACCGACAGUACAAGCUCCAUACUUGAGAAAUAUCCGAGCGUCAAGAGCCCCAAGCAGAUGACCUUGAACUCCUUUCUCUUACCUGUUCUUUGAGGAAGUGGACCAGUUCUCCAGGAGUCAAAACUGAGAGCAGUAAGUAGACGCUUCAUGAAAUCAGAUGCGACCACUAUGUAAGAAAGAAUAUUCAAGACUCUCCAAAGAUCAAAGGAAAGGUAGUGAGCUCCCUGCCACCAGAUAUGUUCAAGCGGAGAUUGGCAGAGCACUACUUCUGUAAAGAUUAUUUGGCUGUUCCUUCACUAAAUAUUGCCUGAUACCAAACACUGCACGAAUAGGAGUGUGGACUUUGGGUUCUAAGUGAGAGGAUUCUAGAGGCAUGCUUGCCACUGUCUUUCUUCGUUAUAUUUGGCACAUCAUUUUUAAAGACCUCUCUUGCCUCACCUGUAAAAGGCAGGAGGGUGGGGAGGUUUAAAAAGAACAGGAACUAGUCAGCCCACUGUGGCAAUCUGUGCUGGGCUCUGAAAGCCUGGUGGUGAGGGUAUUUAUACCAGGUGGCUAUUGCAACAAGGUUUAUAUUGUUGAAAAACAACUAGAAACCUCCUUAGGAUAGCAACAGGAAAAUUGUUAAAUAAAUAAUGACGGAUGCCUACUAUAAUGUAA